GGCGGCGUGCUUAACACAUGCAAGUCGAACGGGGAUAUUAUUGGAAGGGUUUCGGCCUGGAAGGUGAUAUUCGAGUGGCAGACGGGUGAGUAACGCGUGAGCAAUCUGUCCCAGACAGGGGGAUAACACUUGGAAACAGGUGCUAAUACCGCAUAAGACCACGGCAUCACAUGGUGCAGGGGUAAAAGGAGGAAUCCGGUUUGGGGUGAGCUCGCGUCCGAUUAGCCAGUUGGCGGGGUAACGGCCCACCAAAGCGACGAUCGGUAGCCGAUCUGAGAGGAUGACCGGCCACAUUGGAACUGAGAGACGGUCCAAACUCCUACGGGAGGCAGCAGUGGGGAAUAUUGGGCAAUGGGCGAAAGCCUGAACCCCAGCAACGCCGCGUGAGUGAAGAAGGCUUUCGGGUUGUAAAGCUCUGUUAUAGGUGACGAAGGAAGUGACGGUAGCCUAUAAGGAAGCCCCGGCUAACUACGUGCCAGCCGCUGC
rnacentral:rRNA from 1 species